UCUUCCGGCGCAUUUCUUUCCCGUCCGGAGGACGCCGCCACCGGUCGGGCGGCGGCCGUCGGGACGGGAGCUGGCAGGGGACCGGAGGCCCUCGGGCUUCCGGUCUUUGGCCUUCUCGUCCGGGCGCGCCGCCCGACCGAGAUCGAAUCUAGGGACCCCCUGCGGGUCCGGCCGCCUCCAUUCCGCCCUGCGGGAGCGGACGCCGUGGCAGAACAGCCCCCGCCCCUCGGUCGCACGGGAAGAACCCGUGGACGCGAGGCGGCGCGACUGCGGAAGGGCUUCGCUGGCCUCGGACUUUUCCGCGGGAGGAGGCGGUGGGCGGCGAGUAGGUCGGCAACCCACCCGACCCGUCUUGAAACACGGACCAAGGAGUCUAACAUGCGUGCGAGUCAAUGGGUCUCGAACAAGCCCAAAGGCGGAGCGAAAGCAAAUUGCGGGAGCCCUCCCGCAGAAAGUCGGGAUCCCCCUCCCCGCGUAGGAGGGGGCGCACCGACGGCCCGCCGGAAACCCGCCCCGUGCGGUCCGGCGGAGUCCGAGCACGCACGUUGGUACCCGAAAGAUGGUGAACUAUGCCCGGGCGGGACGAAGCCAGAGGAAACUCUGGUGGAGGUCCGCAGCGGUCUGACG
rnacentral:rRNA from 1 species